rnacentral:rRNA from 1 species
UACAGAGGUCUCAAGCGUUGUUCGGAUUCAUUGGGCGUAAAGGGUGCGUAGGUGGCGCUGUAAGUCGGGUGUGAAAUUUCGGAGCUUAACUCCGAAACUGCAUUCGAUACUGCGGUGCUUGAGGACUGGAGAGGAGACUGGAAUUCAUGGUGUAGCAGUGAAAUGCGUAGAGAUCAUGAGGAAGACCAGUGGCGAAGGCGGGUUGCUGGGCCGACACUGACGCUGAUGCGCGAAAGCCAGGGAGCGAACGGG